rnacentral:rRNA from 1 species
GCGGUGCAGGAUGAGCCCGCGGCCUAUCAGCUUGUUGGUGGGGUAAUGGCCUACCAAGGCGACGACGGGUAGCCGGCCUGAGAGGGCGACCGGCCACACUGGGACUGAGACACGGCCCAG